AUCGGCUCUUUUAACACGUUGAAUACACCAGUUCCCAACGGAUCACUGAAGUUAAGCAACGUUGUACGUGGAUAGUCUCUGGACAAAUGGUCGUCAGGGCAAUCACGUAGGCGUAGAGU
rnacentral:rRNA from 1 species